rnacentral:misc_RNA from 1 species
GAUGAAGAACGUAGUGAAACGCGAUAGGUAAUGUGAAUUGCAGAAUUCCGUGAAUCAUCGAAUCUUUGAACGCACAUUGCGCCCCUUGGUAUUCCGAGGGGCAUGCCUGUUCGAGCGUCAUUAUAACCCUCAAGCUCAGCUUGGUGUUGGGGCCUGCUGCACUGGCAGCCCUUAAAAUCAGUGGCGGCGCCAUCUGGCUCUAAGCGUAGUAAUUCUUCUCGCUAUGGAGUCCUGGUGGAUGCUUGCCAUCAACCCCCAAUUUUUCUAUGGUUGACCUCGGAUCAGGUAGGGAUACCCGCUGAACUUAAGCAUAUCAAUAAGCGGAGGA